rnacentral:rRNA from 1 species
UACGGAAGGCAGCAGUGGGGAAUAUUGCACAAUGGGCGAAAGCCUGAUGCAGCUAUGCCGCGUGUAUGAAGAAGGCCUUAGGGUUGUAAAGUACUUUCAUCGGGGAGGAAAAAACAAAACUAAUAAUUUUAUUUCUUGACGUUACCCGAAAAAGAAGCACCGGCUAACUCCGUGCCAGCAGCCGCGGUAAUACGGAGGGUGCUAGCGUUAAUCAGAAUUACUGGGCGUAAAGAGCACGUAGGUGGUUUUUUUAAGUCAGAUGUGAAAUCCCCUGGGGCUUAACCUAGGAACUGCAUUUUGAAACUGAAAUACUAGAGUAUCGUAGAGGGAGGUAGAAUUCUAGGUGUAGCGGUGAAAUGCGUAGAUAUCUGGAGGAAUACCUGUGGCGAAAGCGGCCGUCCUAAACGAAUACUGACACUGAGGUGCGAAAGCGUGGGGAGGCAAACAGGGAUUAGAUACC